ensembl:lncRNA
CGGCCCAGAUGCAGACAGUUCAAAUCACAGAUGUUUAUUGACCAAACAGGGAGCAGGCAAAAGACAGGACAAGGGCAGGCAGAGGUCCAUAAUCCAGGGUAGAGUCAGUAAGGUACAGAACGGCAGGCAGGCUCAGGGUCAGGGCAGGCAGAGGUCAGUAAUCCAGGGUAGAGUCAGUAAGGUACAGAACGGCAGGCAGGCUCAGGGUCAGGGCAGGCAGAGGUCAGUAAUCCAGGGUAGAGUCAGUAAGGUACAGAACGGCAGGCAGGCUCAGGGUCAGGGCAGGCAGAGGUCAAUAAUCCAGGGUAGAGUCAGUAAGGUACAGAACGGCAGGCAGGCUCAGGGUCAGGGCAGGCAGAGGUCAGUAAUCCAGGGUAGAGUCAGUAAGGUACAGAACGGCAGGCAGGCUCAGGGUCAGGGCAGGCAGAGGUCAGUAAUCCAGGGUAGAGUCAGUAAGGUACAGAACGGCAGGCAGGCUCAGGGUCAGGGCAAGCAGAGGUCAGUAAUCCAGGGCAGUGUCAGACAGCUGCAGAACGGCAGGCAGGCCCAGCGCAUGCAGAGUGGUCAAAACUGGAAAAACUAG